rnacentral:rRNA from 1 species
UACGUAGGGUGCGAGCGUUAAUCGGAAUUACUGGGCGUAAAGCGUGCGCAGGCGGUUCGUCGUGUCCGAUGUGAAAGCCCCGGGCUCAACCUGGGAAUGGCAUUGGAAACUGGCGGACUCGAGUGUGGCAGAGGGGGGUGGAAUUCCGCGUGUAGCAGUGAAAUGCGUAGAGAUGCGGAGGAACACCGAUGGCGAAGGCAGCCCCCUGGGCUAACACUGACGCUCAGGCACG